UGCAGUCGAAGUUGUCCUUGCCCAGUGUUGUGUAUGUUUUGGUACGUGCUCGAAGUUUUCGCCACGCAUCGUAGGGAAAGCCUGCUAGGAUUUUACCGAAGGAAGCUUCCCGUAAUCGUUAAUAUUUGGUGAAAAUACAGAACAUUCUUUUUUCUGAGUUUUUUUUUCUCGCAAAUGGCUAUAAUGGUAUAACGAAAUGAGGUGCCCUUUCGGAAUGUUUCACUCUGCAUCAAAAUGCUGUUCCAACCUGUGAAUCAUGCGUGUGUACGAUUGUCGCCCACCGAGAAGCACACCAGGGAUGCUUCAACAGCUGCUGCUACGAGACUCUCGUUUAACCAAAUCCGAAAGGUCAUUAUCUCAUCGAAAUUGGCAAUCUGGGGAAAAAAUGCAAAGGACACGUACAUAAACUCCAUACCGGCUUGGCAUUUCCCCGAAUCGAUUCAGGUUUUGUAAAGGCAACUGUCGAGGAAAAACGUGAAUGAGACGCAUUACACAAAACCGACCGUUUGUUGCCGUAGAUUUGUGUUUUUUUUCCAUACCGGCUGCCUGUGUAUAUACCUACGCAAAAACCUUUGGAAUCCCCGAAUUUCCUCUGGUAGACAGAGGGACCGAGUCACAGCCGCCGAAGAUCAUCAAUCAUUCUUCCCCCUUUGAUGUUUUUCUCUCGCACUCCGGUACCCAUAUCUUUGCCCACCGGUACGGAUCCCGUCUGCCGAUCUAGGUUUUACUUCUAGACUACUUGAAUGGAACACUGUAGCUUUGUUUCAUACUUUUCUCAGCAACAUUUCCGAAUCGGAGAUGUUGAGGUUUGGUCGUUGGCCUUUUUUUCGCCAGAGCUUAGACACGCGGAAAAAGUCGGAGACAUCGUCUGUUUAGAGCUGAAAUCAGUCAGCAGAAGACGUAAUUUGGGUGACACAUUUUCCAAAGUACCCAUAUGAGACUAUCAGCUAAUUCCUCAACGUUGACAGCUUUUUCCUUUAUCUUAAAUGCGAAUGGAAACGAACGCUGGGCGUUGGCUGGGAACGAGGAAAUCUUUGAAAUGAUGUUUCCAAGAUUGAGUGACGGAAACACACAUGGAUUUCACCUUACAGGCUUAACGUUUGCAGGGAGUCGAUAGUGGAAAGGUGGAUUUAUGUUUUGGAAUCAUGGAGGACUGUGUGAGAUUAAUUGUGCUUGGUAGCUUAUUAUUUGUUGAAAUUUUUCGCUAAGAUUGAUGAAUUGCUUUUUAAAUGAGAAUUUGCUACCGCAGGACUUUCAUGUCAUAUUUCUUGGGGCUUCGAUUAAAAGGGUUGAUGUGAUGAUUACUCUUAUGUGCUCUUCAGUCAGAUUUCAGUUAAUCCUCUUUUAACCCUCUACUGCAUUAGGGCCAUAAAUUGGAGUUUAUUUAAACAUUUUUUUAGCUUAUUUCAGUACAAACAAAUAUUUCAAAAAUUUAAAAAAAAAUCAACAUACCGAUAAUACCAAUAUUAUCGAAUUAAAACGGGCAGUUUCAAUUAGCUCCUCCAUUGAUUGACCACUGAAAUGAUUCAGCUUCCAUUGUGAAACAUUGCAAAACUGGCUGUAUACUGAGGCAGACAAAAGUCUUAUUUAAAAAUCUCUUUUUUUUCAUUGUUUUUUUUAAUUUUUAAUUAAUUUUUAAAUUUGAACUAUUGCGCUCACAGAGAGAAUUUUAACAAAAAUAUCCGAAACCUUAAAGUCACAACUUAACACACGAAAGUUCACAUUUGACUUUUUGUGUCUAACGAUGCUUUUAUUUAUGAAAGUGAGUAUUUAUGAUAAAUUUAAGAGCAAAAUGUUCUAAGAGUUCUCAAGGGCUGGUUUGAGUUUAAUGCUUUUUGUUAUUGGCAAUACGUGUGUAUCUGUCAGCUGUAUAUAUUGAUUCAAUAGUAAAAGCUAUCAUUAAAAGCUACAAGUUAAUACACGUUAACAAUAAAUCAUGGACGGUUGGAAUACUGAUUUGCGAAGUGAAGCCGGUCAAA